rnacentral:rRNA from 1 species
AACGAACGCUGGCGGCAUGCCUAACACAUGCAAGUCGAACGAGAUCUUCGGGUCUAGUGGCGCACGGGUGCGUAACGCGUGGGAAUCUUGCCUUAGGUUCGGCAUAACAGUUGGAUACGACUGCUAAGACCGGUUGAUGCCGAAACUUCAAAGAUUUAUAUCCAGAGGACACUUCCGCGUAGGAUUAUCUAGUUGGUGUGGUAAAGGCGCACCAAGGCGACGAUCCUUAGCUGGUCUGAGAGGAUGAUCAGCCAACCUGGGACUGAGACACGGCCCAGUCUCGUACGGGAGGCAGUAGUGGGGAAUAUUGGACAAUGAGCGAAAGCCUGAUCCAGCAAUGCCGCGUGAGUGAUGAAGGCCUUAGGGUUGUAAAGCUCUUUUACCCGGGAUGAUAAUGACAGUACCGGGAGAAUAAGCUCCGGCUAACUCCGUGCCAGCCGCCGCGGUAA